AGAGUUUGAUCAUGGCUCAGGAUGAACGCUAGCUACAGGCUUAACACAUGCAAGUCGAGGGGCAGCAUGUUGGUUGCUUGCAACCAACGAUGGCGACCGGCGCACGGGUGAGUAACGCGUAUCCAACCUACCCUUGUCCAUCGGAUAACCCGUCGAAAGGCGGCCUAACACGAUAUGCGGUUCACAGCAGGCAUCUAACGUGAACGAAAUGUGAAGGAGAAGGAUGGGGAUGCGUCUGAUUAGCUUGUUGGCGGGGUAACGGCCACCAAGGCUACGAUCAGUAGGGGUUCUGAGAGGAAGGUCCCCCANAUUGGAACUGAGACACGGUCCAAAAUCCGUACGGGAGGCA
rnacentral:rRNA from 1 species